GCACAAGCGGUGGAGCAUGUGGUUUAAUUCGAUGCAACGCGAAGAACCUUACCUGGCCUUGACAUCCCGCGAACCAACCAGAGAUGGAUGGGUGCCUUCGGGAACGCGGAGACAGGUGCUGCAUGGCUGUCGUCAGCUCGUGUCGUGAGAUGUUGGGUUAAGUCCCGCAACGAGCGCAACCCUUGUCCUCAGUUGCCAGCACUUUGGGUGGGAACUCUGGGGAGACUGCCGGUGACAAACCGGAGGAAGGUGGGAUGACGUCAAGUCAUCAUGGCCCUUAUGGCCAGGGCUACACACGUGCUACAAUGGUCGGUACAGAGGGUUGCCAAGCCGCGAGGUGGAGCCAAUCCCAUAAAGCCGAUCGUAGUCCGGAUUGGAGUCUGCAACUCGACUCCAUGAAGUCGGAAUCGCUAGUAACCGCAGAUCAGCAGUGCUGCGGUGAAUACGUUCCCGGGCCUU
rnacentral:rRNA from 1 species